AGUGUAGGUGGUUGUCCAAGUUGGAUGUGAAAGCCUUGAGCUCAACUCAAGAAAUGCAUUCAGGACUGGAUGACUAGAGGACCGGAGAGGAUAGUGGAAUUCCCAGUGUAGUGGUGAAAUACGUAGAGAUUGGGAAGAACACCAGUGGCGAAGGCGGCUAUCUGGACGGUUUCUGACACUAAGACUCGAAAGCGUGGGGAGCAAACAGGAUUAGAUACCCUGGUAGUCCACGCCGUAAACGAUGGGUGCUAGACGUUGGCGAGCUUGCUCGUCAGUGUCGCAGCUAACGCGUUAAGCACCCCGCCUGGGGAGUACGGCCGCAAGGUUGAA
rnacentral:rRNA from 1 species